GGACCCGCACAAGUAGUGGAGCAUGUGGUUUAAUUCGAAGAUACGCGCAGAACCUUACCAACACUUGACAUGUUCGUCGCGACUUUAAGAGAUUAAAGUUUUCGGUUCGGCCGGACGAAACACAGGUGCUGCAUGGCUGUCGUCAGCUCGUGUCGUGAGAUGUUGGGUUAAGUCCCGCAACGAGCGCAACCCUCACUUUUAGUUGCCAUCAUUAAGUUGGGCACUCUGAAAGAACUGCCAGUGAUAAGCUGGAGGAAGGUGGGGAUGACGUCAAGUCCUCAUGGCCCUUACGUGUUGGGCUACACACGUGCUACAAUGGCAUUUACAAUAGGAAGCAAAACGGCGACGUUAAGCAAAUCCUAAAAAAUGCCUCAGUUCGGAUUGUACUCUGCAACUCGAGUACAUGAAGCUGGAAUUACUAGUAAUCG
rnacentral:rRNA from 1 species